rnacentral:rRNA from 1 species
CAGUCGCCACGGGAAUACGUAGGUGGCAAGCGUUGUCCGGAAUUAUUGGGCGUAAAGGGCUCGUAGGCGGACAUUUAAGUCAGGGGUGAAAUCCCAGAGCUCAACUCUGGAACUGCCUUUGAUACUGGGUGUCUUGAGUGUGAUAGAGGUAUGUGGAACUCCGAGUGUAGAGGUGAAAUUCGUAGAUAUUCGGAAGAACACCAGUGGCGAAGGCGACAUACUGGAUCAUUACUGACGCUGAGGCUCGAAAGCGUGGGGAGCAAACAGGAUUAGAGACCCGCGUAGUCCCUGUCUCUUAUAA